CCAGACUCCUACGGGAGGCAGCAGUGGGGAAUAUUGGGCAAUGGGAGGAAUCCUGACCCAGCGACGCCGCGUGAACGAAGACGGCCUUCGGGUUGUAAAGUUCUUUUAUGUGGGAAGAAUAAAGUGACGGUACCACAUGAAUAAGCCCCGGCUAACUACGUGCCAGCAGCCGCGGUAAUACGUAGGGGGCGAGCGUUGUCCGGAAUUACUGGGCGUAAAGGGCACGCAGGCUGUGCUUCAAGUCAGCUGUAAAAGGAUGCGGCUUAACCGUGUUAUGCGGCUGAGACUGAGGUGCUGGAGUACCGGAGAGGCAAGUGGAAUUCCCAGUGUAGCGGUGAAAUGCGUAGAUAUUGGGAAGAACAUCGGUGGCGAAGGCGACUUGCUGGACGGUAACUGACGCUGAGGUGCGAAAGCCAGGGUAGCGAACGGGAUUAGAUACCCCGGUAGUCCUGGCUGUAAACGAUGAAUGCUAGGUGUGCGAGCAGAGAUGUUGGUGUGCCGCAGUUAACGCGAUAAGCAUUCCGCCUGGGGAGUACGGUCGCAAGAUUGAAACUCAAAGGAAUUGACGGGGGCCCGCACAAG
rnacentral:rRNA from 1 species